rnacentral:rRNA from 1 species
UGGGGAAUCUUGCACAAUGGAGGAAACUCUGAUGCAGCGACGCCGCGUGAGCGAUGAAGCCCUUCGGGGUGUAAAGCUCUUUCGACGGGAACGAUAAUGACGGUACCCGGAGAAGAAGCUGCGGCUAACUACGUGCCAGCAGCUGCGGUAAUACGUAGGCAGCAAACGUUGUUCGGAAUUACUGGGCGUAAAGAGUGUGUAGGCGGUUUUGCAAGUUUGGUGUGAAAUCUCCCGGCUUAACUGGGAGGGUGCGCCGAAAACUGCAAGGCUCGAGUACUGGAGAGGAAAGCGGAAUUCCUGGUGUAGCGGUGAAAUGCGUAGAUAUCAGGAGGAACACCGGUGGUGUAGACGGCUUUCUGGACAGUCACUGACGCUGAGACACGAAAGCGUGGGGAGCAAACA